AAUCAACGAUGGAAAUAGCCAAGCCUGAGCAUCAGAGGACCUUCUAGUGUGCUUUGAUGAAUUAUCUCCAUAGUCUUGAGA